rnacentral:rRNA from 1 species
AUUGAACGCUGGCGGCAGGCCUAACACAUGCAAGUCGAACGGUAACAGGAAGCAGCUUGCUGCUUUGCUGACGAGUGGCGGACGGGUGAGUAAUGUCUGGGAAACUGCCCGAUGGAGGGGGAUAACUACUGGAAACGGUAGCUAAUACCGCAUAACGUCGCAAGACCAAAGAGGGGGACCUUAGGGCCUCUUGCCAUCGGAUGUGCCCAGAUGGGAUUAGCUAGUAGGUGGGGUAACGGCUCACCUAGGCGACGAUCCCUAGCUGGUCUGAGAGGAUGACCAGCCACACUGGAACUGAGACAAGGUCCAGACUCCUACGGGAGGCAGCAGUGGGGAAUAUUGCACAAAGGGCGCAAGCCUGAUGCAGCCAUGCCGCGUGUAUGAAGAAGGCCUUCGGGUUGUAAAGUACUUUCAGCGGGGAGGAAGGGAGUAAAGUUAAUACCUUUGCUCAUUGACGUUACCCGCAGAAGAAGCACCGGCUAACUCCGUG